CCUACGGGGGGCAGCAGUGAGGAAUAUUGGUCAAUGGGCGCAAGCCUGAACCAGCCAAGUCGCGUGAGGGAUGACGGUCCUAUGGAUUGUAAACCUCUUUUGUCGGGGAGCAAGGCCCGCCACGUGUGGCGGGAAGGAGAGUACCCGAAGAAAAAGCAUCGGCUAACUCCGUGCCAGCAGCCGCGGUAAUACGGAGGAUGCGAGCGUUAUCCGGAUUUAUUGGGUUUAAAGGGUGCGUAGGCGGAAGGUUAAGUCAGCGGUAAAAUGUUGGUGCUCAACACCGGCCUGCCGUUGAAACUGGUCUUCUUGAGUGAGCGAGAAGUAUGCGGAAUGCGUGGUGUAGCGGUGAAAUGCAUAGAUAUCACGCAGAACUCCGAUUGCGAAGGCAGCAUACCGGCGCUCAACUGACGCUGAGGCACGAAAGCGUGGGGAUCGAACAGGAUUAGAUACCCUGGUAGUC
rnacentral:rRNA from 1 species